rnacentral:lncRNA from 1 species
UGGACUUUGAGGCCAGAGUCCUGAUGACAUUUACCUUGGUGGCUUGGCAGGAGCUGAUGGUUGUGAGCCUACUGCAGAGUCCACACCUGGUCCUGGGGAGAAAGAAGCCAUUGAAGCCUCGCCAGCCUCGUGGUCACGGGCAAAAGACAAUGUUCGCAUGAGCUGCUGGGCAGAAGAAGAGAUUUGGCCACGUGGCCAGGAGGAUCACAAGUCCAUGGCCAGCCUGGGCACCUCAUUGAGAGGAGACGCUGUUUGAAGAAAAGGUGGGGCUAGAGGUACAACUCAGGGGUAAAGUGGUUGGCAGGCAGCAAAGGGCUUGAGUCUGAUCCUCACCACUCCUGUAGGACACUGAGCCCAGAGACAGGAAUCUGUCA